rnacentral:rRNA from 1 species
UACGUAGGGGGCAAGCGUUAUCCGGAUUUACUGGGUGUAAAGGGAGCGUAGACGGUUAUGCAAGUCAGAAGUGAAAGCCCAAAGCUCAACUUCGGGACUGCUUUUGAAACUGUGUAACUAGAGUGCAGGAGGGGUGAGCGGAAUUCCUAGUGUAGCGGUGAAAUGCGUAGAUAUUAGGAGGAACACCGGCGGCGAAGGCGGCUUACUGGACUGUAACUGACGUUGAGGCUCGAAAGCGUGGGGAGCAAACAGG